AAAUGUACAUUCACUGAAACAAGCUGGAGGAGUGUGAAGCAAAACUACCACUCGUGUAGUUCACUAUCACUGAGACUGACAACACGUUUAAGCGGUUCAGGGAAGAUGAUCAGUAGAUGUGCAGGACAGUCUUCAAUCGGAGCUACACAUGCUAACAUCACACAUCGUCACCUGAUUUAUAGCAUGGCAGGCUCAAGUUCAAAGGUUGGCUUCAAAUUACAUCCAGAUACCAUGACGCUCUCCCAAAACCCUCUGGCAUUCAGCUGCAAGCCGAAGAAAAGAUGACCCAGCGUACCCAGUGACUACAGGCUGGUGGCAGUGACAUCA